AGAGUGGCGCGGGGGGCGUGGGGCGGUGCUGAGGAGCUGAAGCCGUGGCCAGCUAGACGCCGGACAGUCCAGCGAGCAGCACGGCGGGAACCGGCAGCCGGAGCAGUCCCGGAGCAGAAGCAGCAGCAGCAGCAGCCCUCGCCGUUCGCGGAGCGCAGCCGAGCCGGCCAUGGCGUUGUCGAUGCCUCUGAAUGGGCUGAAGGAGGAGGACAAAGAGCCCCUCAUCGAGCUCUUCGUCAAGUAAAUCUCAAAUUUGGAUUAUCAAGCUAAUUGGAAAGGCUGGCAGUGAUGGUGAAAGCAUAGGAAACUGCCCCUUUUCCCAGAGGCUCUUCAUGAUUCUUUGGCUCAAAGGAGUUGUAUUUAGUGUGACGACUGUUGACCUGAAAAGGAAGCCUGCAGACCUGCAGAACUUGGCUCCCGGGACCCACCCACCAUUUAUAACUUUCAACAGUGAAGUCAAAACGGAUGUAAAUAAGAUUGAGGAAUUUCUUGAAGAAGUCUUAUGCCCUCCCAAGUACUUAAAGCUUUCACCAAAACACCCAGAAUCAAAUACUGCUGGAAUGGACAUCUUUGCCAAAUUCUCUGCAUAUAUCAAGAAUUCAAGGCCAGAGGCUAAUGAAGCACUGGAGAGGGGUCUCCUGAAAACCCUGCAGAAACUGGAUGAAUAUC
rnacentral:sRNA from 1 species